GGAUAACUUACCCUUUAGGACUGGGAUAACUCUGGGAAACUGGGGAUAAUACUGGAUAUUAGGCUAUGCCUGGAAUGGUUUGCCUUUGAAAUGUUUUUUUUCGCCUAAGGAUAGGUCUGCGGCUGAUUAGGUCGUUGGUGGGGUAAUGGCCCACCAAGCCGAUGAUCGGUACGGGUUGUGAGAGCAAGGGCCCGGAGAUGGAACCUGAGACAAGGUUCCAGACCCUACGGGGUGCAGCAGGCGCGAAACCUCCGCAAUGUACGAAAGUGCGACGGGGGGAUCCCAAGUGUUAUGCUUUUUUGUAUGACUUUUCAUUAGUGUAAAAAGCUUUUAGAAUAAGAGCUGGGCAAGACCGGUGCCAGCCGCCGCGGUAACACCGGCAGCUCGAGUGGUAGUUGUUUUUAUUGGGCCUAAAGCGUUCGUAGCCGGUUUGAUAAGUCUUUGGUGAAAGCUUGUAGCUUAACUAUAAGAAUUGCUGGAGAUACUAUUAGACUUGAAGUCGGGAGAGGUUAGAGGUACUACCGGGGUAGGGGUGAAAUCCUAUAAUCCUGGGAGGACCACCUGUGGCGAAGGCGUCUAACUGGAACGAUCUUGACGGUGAGUAACGAAAGCCAGGGGCGCGAACCGGAUUAGAUACCCGGGUAGUCCUGGCCGUAAACGAUGUGGACUUGGUGUUGGAAUGGCUUUGAGUUGUUCCGGUGCCGAAGGGAAGCUGUUAAGUCCACCGCCUGGGAAGUACGGUCGCAAGACUGAAACUUAA
rnacentral:rRNA from 1 species